rnacentral:ncRNA from 1 species
AUAGACUACCGGGGGUGCUGCGAAAAGCGGCUGAGACGGGAAUUUUUCCCGAACCCUUGAACCUGUUUGGGUAAUGCCAGCGUAGGGAGGGUAGUCGGUUGCUUUU